UGCAGUUUUUCUUUGGUUGCC
rnacentral:piRNA from 1 species